rnacentral:lncRNA from 1 species
CUCAAAAAUUCUUAAAGAACUGGUUCAAGAAAAUCUUUGCAUUACAGCAAAAACUAUUUAUGAAUCAGCUCAUGCUACAGAAAUAUUGCCUAAGAAACAAAAAAUAUUUAAUAUGAAAGGAAGACAAACUCAUCUGUUGGUGAUAUCAUGAAGUAGGGAAAGUGAGAUUUUGAUUAUUUGCAUGAUAAGUCUAGUACUGGAAUUUACCUUUUUUUUUUUUAAACAAAGAGUUCUAUCAGAAGAAAGUUCCGUUCUCCUUAGCAACUCUAUCUGAAAAUAACUGUGUUAUGAAUAAAAGACUAUAUUCUUCUGAAGAGAAAGAAAGCCUGUCGUAUCCCAUGCAGAUGUGUUAUUACAGCUGACACUUCUCCAUAUUACAGCAACUCAAGACUUUUUUUUUUCAGGAAAAUAUAAAAGUAAGAUUGAAUGAUUAUUCUGGAGACAGGAAAAAAGAGAAAGAAGCUGACUUUUUGCAUAGCGCCUGGCACAGCGACUGCUCUGUUGGCCCCAUACUAGCUGGAGGAACCCAGAGGUCUCAUGGGCAGCAGCAGGACCAGCCACAAUGGGCACCAUCUCAUUAAGUUCAACUAUCUCAUCCGUUCCUUAGCAACCAUGCAAAUACCACAAUAACCCUAGGUGGUAUCAGCUGCUCCAUUUGACAUACCUCAGAAGGUUAACAACUUACUGCCCAGGAAGGUUAACAGCAUACCCAGCCUGCAUGAACAUCAAAUAAUUGUCAAUCCAUUGACAAGAAAUAAUUACUAGAGAAUUCUUUACUUAUGCAUGUGAGUUACAUCAGCCACAAGAUGCUUCACUGUAUUUUCACGAUGACAAAAUAGCCAGCAAAGCACAUUGCAUUUACUCUUUGUAUAAAAUCUUGAUAAGCCCACAUUGCAGAUACAUAGGAAUAGGUUUCAAAUUGUAUGUCUGUACUUCAAUAUAUAACUUCAUCAUGAACUAAAAAGUAUUGAAUUAUAUUUUUAAAAUAUAAAUUGCAUUUAAUUGAAAAAAACCUCUCUUUUAAAUGUGUGUAAUUAAUACAAACAAAAAUAUUUCUACUAUGGGAACCUAUAAAAGCUAAGGACUAAAGACAAAUCUAUCUGCUUCUGCUCCAAAAGCUGAUAAUAAACACAAGCACCUAGAUACUGUAGUAUGAUAA